rnacentral:rRNA from 1 species
GAUGAACGCUAGCGGCAGGCCUAACACAUGCAAGUCGAGGGGCAGCAUGGCGUAGCGAUACGCUGAUGGCGACCGGCGCACGGGUGCGUAACGCGUAUGCAACCUGUCCGGCGCAGGGGGGUAGCCCGUCGAAAGGCGGGGUAAUCCCGCAUGAACCGGUAUUCCCGCAUGGGGGUGCCGGCAAAGUGGAGACGCGGGGCCGGAGGGGCAUGCGUGCCAUUAGCUGGCUGGAGGGGUAACGGCCCACCAGGGCGAUGAUGGCUAGGGGGUCUGAGAGGAUGGUCCCCCACACUGGUACUGAGACACGGACCAGACUCCUACGGGAGGCAGCAGUGAGGAAUAUUGGUCAAUGGGCGGAAGCCUGAACCAGCCAUGCCGCGUGCAGGAAGGAGGCCCUACGGGUUGUAAACUAGCUUUUACCCGGGUAACGAAACCGACCCCCUCGUGGGGGCGGUUGGCCGGUACCGGGGGAAAACGGGAAGUACGGCGUAACUACCGUCGCCGACGCGAGCCGGCGGUAACGUACUACUAACUCGUA